rnacentral:rRNA from 1 species
GGUGAACCUGCGGAAGGAUCAUUAUUG